UGAAAUAGGAUGAAUAAAUGAACAUAAAAAUACGAUAUAACUUAAAAGUAACAUGCAAUUAAAAUAUGAGGUAGGGCUCUAUUCAGUGCACAACUUUGCACAUUAUAACAAUCAACAAUGUAAAAUUACUGUCAGAGUGCCCCUGAAAUAUUCUAAUUACCUUUCCCUCUGCCUUGAAUUCUUGUUAUCCAUCUGAAAGGAGCUGCACUUGGUCUUACUAAUUGAUAUGCAAAUCAACUCCACCAUUUACUGUAGGUUGAGUGCACAGUUUGUAUAGUCAGUGGGGUGUGGAGCUAUGUUGGGUGAGUUGCAGAGGUCUACACAGAAAGCUGGGACCAUUUUUGGAUUUUUACAGAGGGAACACUCAGACCCUCACUGAGAUAGAUUUCUUCUAGUUUUAUUUUGCCAGCUUCAAGCUAUUUACUGGCAGUUGGUUAUUAUUUCUACAUUCCAGAAAUCAAGUGUGGCUCCUAUUUCAUGGAAAGACAGAUCCACGUCCGGUUCCAUGUCAUUCAUUCUGAAGGGGGCGCUGUAUUCACGCUAUUUAUUCUGAGUGAACUACUACGUGUCGUGAUCUACUUUGUGACCCCAAUCUGAGUGAGGGGGAGGUGAUACGAGCGUUCCAUUCUGGGUAACAUGGAUUCGUAGAGUCCAUCGAUGACGAUUAAGUGAUCAACCAUAACAACGAUCAACGUUUGUUCGAUGUCAGUAAGUCUUUUCGACUGGUAAGCGGAUUCGUUUCCAAGGACAUCUAUAUGCGCUACAUUUUUUGUUUACUCACUACUGAACUUAACUCGACGAGCAUUGCUCUGAUUCCGAAAUCGCAUAUGCCAAAGACAAUGAUUGAAC